UCGGUGACCACAUCGCCAGCUGGACUGACCUGCUCCGAAGGGUCUCCCUCCUCUUCCUCGCACCUGUGAGGACAGACAUGGCGCACCUGGGGUACAGUCGCCAGCGAAGCAUCUGCCUUUCAGCAGGAAAAACAAGCGGAGGAACGGGCUGAAACCAUGUGACUCUGCGUCAUGGAAACAAGCAGGAAGGCCUGUACACACCUCCACUCGAUGGCGCGGUCAAUCGAUUUGAAAGUCUUGGGUCGUCCCCGGAGGAAGUUCUGCAUGCUGUGGAGAACGUCCAUGGCACUUCCUGGAAAAGGAAGGACUGUCCGUCAUGCACAGCCCAGCACAGGCAGUCCAGCUGCAUCGCAGGUGUUGCCGCGCUCUCUCCCCCCUCACCCUCCACCACGUCGAUGACCACGAGCCCCACCACGGUGGGCAGCAGGCCGCUGCUGGCUGUGUGGAUGGCGAUGGCUCCGCCCAUGCUGUGGCCCACCAGGAUGAUGGG